CCGGAAGAGAUUGGAAAGUUUCAUGCAACAUUUAUAAAUGUUUAAUAUUUCAGAUAAAAAUGUUUACGAACGGAUGAGAAAAUAGUAUUCGUUAUGGGAGGGAUGAAGCAGAGGAAUACAGGACGAUCUCUCAGAGAUCUGAAGAGAGAGAUUAGCGCCAGGUCGGAAUCCAACCAGGAAAAGAAACCUCAGGUUGUGCAGGAAGAGGAUGACAGCUGGUACCCGUCUUCCUAUACAUCCUGGAAGCUAGUGCUGUCUGCUCGUCUGUGUGCUGCUGUCUGGUCUGGAGUAUCCGACUGUGAUGAAACAUACAACUACUGGGAACCAACCCAUAAUCUUCUCUAUGGUCAGGGGAUGCAGACCUGGGAGUAUGAUCCUAGGUAUGCUCUUCGAUCCUACAUGUAUCUGAUGGUCCAUGCAGUUCCUGGUUGGAUCUACGCUAAACUUCUCCAACCCAACCCUAUGCUUGUUUUCUACUUUCUACGCUGCUUGCUUGGAGGAAUUUGUGCUUCAUGUGAGGUUUACUUCUAUCAGGGAGUUGUAAAGGAGUUUGGAAUUAAUGUUGGUAGAAUAACAUUAACCGUAUUGACCCUGUCCACUGGUAUGUUUAUCUCCAGCACCGCCUACCUCCCCUCCUCCACCUCGAUGUACCUGACCCUGCUUGCCUACGGAGCCUGGUUCCGCCAGGAGUACAGGGCAGCUAUUUUCGCCACAGCCCUCUCCGCCAUUCUCAGUUGGCCCUUUACAGUUCUCCUGGGAGUUCCCAUAGCCAUUGAUAUAGUUCUGUACCGAGGGAAGGUCAACAUGUUCCUGGGUUGGUCAGCUAUAUCAGCGGUCACCAUACUCGGACCAAUCAUGAUGUGUGAUACAUUCUACUAUGGGAAACCAGUCUUUGCAGCAUUCAACAUUGUUAUGUACAACGUGUUUACCUCCCAUGGUCCUGAUCUGUAUGGAACUGAACCUACAUCCUUCUACCUUAUUAACGGUAUCCUUAACUUCAACCUAAUUUUUCCAGCCGCUCUUCUCCUGGUCCUUGUUAGAGUAGGAGGACGUCUUCUCCUCGGAGAAAAAACUGUUUCUCUUCAGGGAGAACAUCUUCCGAUUCUUCUCUCACAGGCGGGUCUGUAUCUAUGGUUUCUAGUGUUCUGGCUCCAACCUCACAAGGAGGAGAGAUUUCUCUUUCCAGUAUAUCCUCUAAUAGCUCUAGCAGGAGCUAUCUCUAUAGACACAACACAGAGGAUUAUUCAUUCUCUACUCUCCACAUCCAAACAGUAUCUGAACCACACGCUCUGGAUCUCCGGGUCCUCUCUUCUUCUCUUCGGAAUUAUAUCCUUACUACGGAUUACUGCAUUGUAUCAGCACUACCAGGGAUCUACUGAUGUAUGGAUGAAUGUUGCUCAGUUAGAAGUGUCCCAGCAUACGACUCAUGUAUGUGUUGGGAAGGAGUGGCAUAGAUUUCCUUCAUCCUUCUUCCUUCCUUCAACUUCAUUCAAGAUUGAGUUUCUAAAAUCCGAGUUCAGGGGACAACUGCCGAAGUAUUACGAGAGUACAGAGAAGGGACUCCUCCCGACUAGGGUUUAUCAUGAUGAUUUUAACGAUCAAAAUAUGGAAGAACCCUCGAGAUAUUUCACAAAUCCAGGAAAAUGUCAUUAUUUAGUUGACCUGGACAACGACGAGGUAACUGACCGACAGCCGAGGUAUGCUGGACAUGAAAACUGGACUGAGGUUUCUAGUUUCAGUUUCUUGGAUCCCGGAGCUUCACAUCCGUUCUUCAGAGCUUUCUAUAUUCCUUUCAUAGACUCAUACUUCUGCAAGUAUAACAAGUAUCUUCUCCUCAAGAGGAACCUAGUUCACGACAUGAACUAAUCUUAUCAUUUAUUAAAAUAUAUCUGGAGUAAAUUUCUCAAAUAGGAUUUAAAAUCCUGUUGGGUGAAAACUAAGUAUCGAGCUUGAAAUUAUGUAUAAAAAAAUCUAGCGGGACGUAUACAGAAUAUUGUUAAGCCUGGAUUCUCUUCAAUACGGAGUUGUUAACAAACGAAACAAAUUGUAAGCAGUAGAUUUAGACUUCAAUUUCAUGUGAAACAGAGAUGUGGAGAUUUACUCCAUAUAUUUGUUUUGUCACUUUCACCCUAGGUCGAUCCUAGUCAUGUAUGUUGUUUAUUGUUAAACGUUUUUUUUAUCAAGGGAUCAAAUAUCAACUUGUGUGAAAGUGGAAAUUGACAACAAUUGCACUACUUCUACACUUUCCAGUGACGUUUAGGAGGUCUUUUAAUAUUAAUUGUAAGCAAUAUUAAAGUUAUAUUUGUGAAUCUUUAUAUUAGUGUUCUGUCUUUACUGUAUUAACUGAUGUGACUUCAGCAAGAGCUGUUAGCUGUUAGAACUGUUAAAUAGAAAGACGACAGAACAGCAAUCGAAGUGUAUUUUAUGUUGCUUUAAAACAAAUUGUUGUUCUAGUAGCUUAAAUCCCCAAUUGAGUAAAAUGGGUCUGUGCACACUGUGUACAGUGUACACUGUACAAUUGCUGUGUUUCAUGCUCAUUAACCCAUUUAGAAUUAUUCCACAGUUUUCUGGUUCUCACUGUAUUUACUAAAAUGAAAUGUUUAAUAUAGAAAAGACUGUUCGGUAAACUAUUGUUUAUCACUGGAAAAUUUAUUUUUUACAUGUUAGGAAUGUAUAUAAUUUGUGGUAGUUUUUUCAAUAAAUGUUGUGAUUUCUGUUUUA
rnacentral:misc_RNA from 1 species